rnacentral:lncRNA from 1 species
UAAAAUUUGUUUAUAAACAGAUGUUGUUGAGCUGCACUCCCAUCAUCAUGGUAAAGUUUGAAGUCAAAGCAGUUUUUCAAAUGGAGCUACAUACCAAUCAGGAAAAAGAGGGAUGAACACUGGAUUUCAAGUUUCCUGAAGGCAGA